GAAAGGCCCAAGGGCUGACUUGCCAGAGCAGGGAAAAUCCACUCAAUCAGCCCGUGAUUUGCAAUGGGGAAAGAACACCUGUCUGCAUCUGCUUUCCCAAUUGGAUGGUGAAUCUAGGACGACUGUUCUCAGGAGAAGCUCUCAACCCAUCAGAUGCGUGUAUAAAGGGAAUGUUAAUGCAAAAACAGCACCUCACCUCAAGCACAAAGAGGAGCUGCCAGAGCACACAGAGGCUGGAAAGUCGACUGAAGCAGGGACAGGAGGAGCUAUUCUGAACUGGUGCUGGUCCCUCCACUUGCCCCCUGCCCCCCAGCUAGCCCGAGCAGGGCACUGGGGCCCAGCAAAGACACUCUACCCAAAGCCUCUGCCUCCACCCCUCCUCCUGUUUGAUUCUACAUGGACCUUAAUGCUGCAUGUGGUACUUACUGCUCAUGUGGGGUGGAGAAUGAAACUGAAGGGACACGGUGGCCUGGAAAAGAUAGGUUGGCAGUCAAGGACAACUGUGUUGUCAUCUGCUUUGUGGCCCACCUCCUGGAGAAGGGGAACGUUGUGAAGAAAGAAAGCAUCAUCAUUUCAUUUCAGGAACCUGAGCUAGCCUGUGCAGCUGUCUUUAGACACACUGGAGGAGGCCCUCAGAUCCCAUUACAGAUGGCUGUGGGAAUUUAACUCAGGACCUCUGGAAGAGCUCAGCUCGUAACUGUUCAGCACUGAGUGGUCUCUCCAGCCUUGGAAUUCUCACUUCUUGACUGGAGGAUUGGUCAGUAGCCCCAGCAAGGAACUCUUUGCCUUCCCAUGUCCUCAUUGAGUUUUUCUGUUCCACCUCAGAACCAUGGAAAGGGGAAAGGAAAGCAGCGAGGCCUUUGCUACUGCUGGGACACAGCACCUGACUGGCAGUUUAACAACAGGCAUCUCACCACUUGCUAUUCUGAAGGCUGGAAGCCCGAGAUCAGCGAGAUCAGCAAGAUUAGCAUGCUGGCAUCUGGCAAGGGAUACCUCCUGCUGCAUAGAUGCUGCUUUUAGCCAUGUCCUCACAUGGCAACAGGCAAAAGGCACCUCUCUGGAGUCCUUUUCAUUGUGACUGAACAACUCAGCUCCUUGUAGCAGUCCUUGAAGAGAAGGCCAUCAGUGUGUGAGCUCUGGAGAAGCUGCAAGUGGUAUCCUUAGAGUUGGACAGAUCCUUUCAGCACCUUCUCUCUCAUCUUGUACCUUUGUUUUCUACAUUUUAAUUAUAUUUAUUAGUGUGUGUACACACGCAUCCACAAUAAAAGUGUGUGGGUGUUCAUGCCUCAGUGAUCAGAGAACGGGGGUGGUGGUAUACGCCUUUAAUCCCAGGCAAAGGCUGGCAUAGCUCUGUGACUUUGAGGCCAGCCUGGUUCUACAGAGCGAAUUCCAUGACAGCAGAGGUUACAAAUAGAAAUCCUGUCUCAAAAUACCAAAAAAAAAAAAAAAAAAAAAAAAAA